GUAGGUGGCAAGCGUUGUCCGGAAUUAUUGGGCGUAAAGCGCGCGCAGGCGGUUCUUUAAGUCUGAUGUGAAAGCCCACGGCUCAACCGUGGAGGGUCAUUGGAAACUGGAGAACUUGAGUACAGAAGAGGAAAGCGGAAUUCCACGUGUAGCGGUGAAAUGCGUAGAGAUGUGGAGGAACACCAGUGGCGAAGGCGGCUUUCUGGUCUGUAACUGACGCUGAGGCGCGAAAGUGUGGGGAGCAAACAGGAUUAGAUACCCUGGUAGUCCACGCCGUAAACGAUGAGUGCUAAGUGUUAGGGGGGUUUCCGCCCCCCUUAGUGCUGCAGCUAACGCAUUAAGCACUCCGCCUGGGAGUACGGCCGCAAGGCUG
rnacentral:rRNA from 1 species